rnacentral:rRNA from 1 species
AGUCGAGCGGACAGAAGGGAGCUUGCUCCCGGAUGUUAGCGGCGGACGGGUGAGUAACACGUGGGUAACCUGCCUGUAAGACUGGGAUAACUCCGGGAAACCGGAGCUAAUACCGGAUAGUUCCUUGAACCGCAUGGUUCAAGGAUGAAAGACGGUUUCGGCUGUCACUUACAGAUGGACCCGCGGCGCAUUAGCUAGUUGGUGGGGUAAUGGCUCACCAAGGCGACGAUGCGUAGCCGACCUGAGAGGGUGAUCGGCCACACUGGGACUGAGACACGGCCCAGACUCCUACGGGAGGCAGCAGUAGGGAAUCUUCCGCAAUGGACGAAAGUCUGACGGAGCAACGCCGCGUGAGUGAUGAAGGUUUUCGGAUCGUAAAGCUCUGUUGUUAGGGAAGAACAAGUGCGAGAGUAACUGCUCGCACCUUGACGGUACCUAACCAGAAAGCCACGGCUAACUACGUGCCAGCAGCCGCGGUAAUACGUAGGUGGCAAGCGUUGUCCGGAAUUAUUGGGCGUAAAGGGCUCGCAGGCGGUUUCUUAAGUCUGAUGUGAAAGCCCCCGGCUCAACCGGGGGAGGGUCAUUGGGAAACUGGGAAACUUGAGUGCAGAAGAGGAGAGUGGAAUUCCACGUGUAGCGGUGAAAUGCGUAGAGAUGUGGAGGAACACCAGUGGCGAAGGCGACUCUCUGGUCUGUAACUGACGCUGAGGAGCGAAAGCGUGGGGAGCGAACAGGAUUAGAUACCCUGGUAGUCCACGCCGUAAACGAUGAGUGCUAAGUGUUAGGGGGUUUCCGCCCCUUAGUGCUGCAGCUAACGCAUUAAGCACUCCGCCUGGGGAGUACGGUCGCAAGACUGAACUCAAGGAAUUGACGGGGGCCCGCACAAGCGGUGGAGCAUGUGGUUUAAUUCGAAGCAACGCGAGAACCUUAC